CUCUCCCUGCGACUUCCGACAGUCAGCCGGCAGCCUACUCUCCAGCUCCAGCUCCCGACUCCCGGCCUUCGAGAUUCCUCAGAGACCCGCGGCAGCCAUAGCCAUCGGUGGAUCGGCGCUCGGCAGGUGCGUCGGGCAGAAACCGGAAGACAGACUGACACGCUGUAGUCGAGCGCCGAGUCCUCGAGUGUACCGAAACAGAAGAAAGAGGAUGCUGCGCACGCGCCAUCGCAACGGGGCGGGCCCAGUAGGAGGAGUUUGGAGCGUGGUAACUGCGGAGUUCCUUCUGGUCCUAGCAACCCACAGCAGGCUUUGUGAAGCCUGUCACUAGCCCUUCACCCAUCAUAUAGCUCUAUGACGUCGGUUUGAAGGGACAUGGGAAGGAAGGUGGGAGGCAACUCCCUUCCUCAACACCUACACUUUACCUCCCUAAGAAGACCAUUGGUGGAUCAGAAGCACCACAGAGGGUGCCUGGAGACAUCUUAGAGGCCGUCUUCCCCGAAGGACUGCUUUACACUGGUUCAAGAACAAGGCCUUCCACAAAACCCUUGAGCAAUGUGGAGAGGGUGGCUUCCUUCAAGCCAGUGGCUUUCAGACAGCAGCCUCUAAUGUGACCCUAGUGAUCUUUGGGCUUCUAAGAGAUUAAAAAUAUGCAGAGAAUUGUGAAAGGCUGGCAAGGCAACAAAGUGAAAACAGUUUCUCUCACAUAUAUUUUCAUCCUGGACCUCUCCAUGGCAACCGUCUACCUCCCCAGUCCUCCCAGAAAUAGUCUGUAGACUUUUUAACAGAUGACUGAACCAUCUACUUAGUGUAGGGAGUAAGCCUGAUUGAUCCCAGGCUGGGAGUCAGUGGGCUGGGUUCCUAGACCAACUGUCGAUGUCUGCUCUGUCUGUGUUCUGACGGCAAACAUGUCCUUCCCUGGGAGUAGGCAUUGAGCCUAAAUCUUGCUGUGUGACCAGGCCAUCACCUCUCACCACAGGGCUGCCUCUGAGAAGCAGACACUAGUAUGGAUUAGCCGUGAUUAGUAGAGAGAAAUAUCCACCAUGCAGAAAACUGGGGAAGGCCCUACACCAAGGGAACAAAAAUUGACAGAGAAAAAAAUACAGGACACCUAGCUAGUUAAAUUCUAAAUCAGAUCAAGACAUGGUAGCAUGUUCCCAUUAUUCCUAGCAGAGGCAAAAAGAUCAGGGGUUUAAAGAUAGCCUGUGCUACCCUGUGAGACUCUCAGAAAGAGCCAACCAGGGCUGAAGAGAUGGCUUAGCAGUUAGGAGCACAGGCUGCUCUUCUAGGGGACUCAGGUUCUAUUUCCAACAACCACAAGGCAACUUCUGGUGUCCAGAACUGUAAGUGAACAGAUUUACAUUGUUUAAAAGCUAGUAAGUGGGCUGGAGAGAUGGCUCAGUGGUUAGGAGCACUGACUGCUCUUCCAAAGGUCCUGAGUUCAAAUCCCAGCAACCACAUGGUGGCUCACAACCAUCUGUAAUGAGAUCUGAUGCCCUCUUCUGGUGUGUCUGAAGACAGCUACAGUGUACUGAUAUAUAAUAAAUGAAUAAAUCUUAAAAAAAAAAAA